CUUUGGGAAUGUCCAUCUUUCACAUUCCCCUGACCUAGUGGAGCCGGGCAAGAUCUCCCUGCUCCACUGACCCUGUCUCUCCAGACUCCAUCACUGGAAAACCGCUGGCCUCCUCCCACGGGGUCCCAGAUUAGAAAACAAGAUUACUUCUUCAUCCAGCUGUUAAUCCCCAAGUGGCUUCCCUGCCUGUCCCAAUUCAUGUCAGGACUGUCUCCUUGCUCAGAUCGUCUCACCCAGACCCCUGCUCACAGAGAUCGGAAGAGCACA